rnacentral:rRNA from 1 species
UACGGGAGGGAGCUAGCGUUAUUCGGAAUACUGGGCGUAAAGCGCACGUAGGCGGCUUCUUAAGUCAGGGGUGAAAUCCUGGAGCUCAACUCCAGAACUGCCUUUGAUACUGAGGAGCUCGAGUCGGAAGAGGUGAGUGGAACUGCGAGUGUAGAGGUGAAAUUCGUAGAUAUUCGCAAGAACACCAGUGGCGAAGGCGGACUCGCUGGCCGGUACUGACGCUGAGGUGCGAAAGCGUGGGGAGCAAACAGGGAUUAAGAA